rnacentral:lncRNA from 1 species
CAGCAGGACCAGGGGCGCGAGCACGUCCAGGAGGCGCCGCCGCCGCGGCCAUGGCCAGGGGCACCUGCGCGGGACAGGCACGGGGCCAGCAUCCUGAGCCCCACCUGCAGGCCCUGGGCGCUUUCCUCCUGGCAGCUGUGCCCCCACCCGACCGGACCGCUCCCUGCAACCAGAGAGCCCUCACACCAGCAACACCCCCCAGCCUGCUCCCUCCUCGUGUGCGCGAAACUCAUGGCACUGGCUUGACGGCUUUCUCUGAAACCCUCUGAUUCCGCCUGGCCCAUCCACACUGUCCCUUCCCGGCCAGGGCUCAUCUCCUAUGCCUGGACCAAACAGCGUAGUCUCCAGUCUCCCUGAUCUCCCCACACGUGGCCCCACCCAUCCUCUGAAGCAGCCCCAGGAGGCAGCAGUGACUUCACACUUCUAGUGCCCGGCCCUCCCGGCCCUCCUCUCUGGGCUUGCUUGCCAGGGUCCUCCCAACCUGACUGCUGCCUCCCACCUCCUCUCCGCCCCUGGAGCUCUCCAGCCGCAGCCGCGGGGCCUGCUUGGGAUUCUCCUCUGCUGGCAUCAUCCCUGCCUGCCUCAGCCUUCCCAGGCCCAAUCCUGCCCGAUCUCACCUCUUCCCGCCCAGCCACCUGGUCGGGUCCCGACCAGCAUCUGCCUUCAAACCUGGAGUCCUUCCCUGAGUGCUUGCGGUGCACUGUGAGGAAGGAAAUCAAUGUAAAGGAUUAUGACCCACAUUUUUUAAAAAUAAAAAGAUUAAGGAGAACAGCA